AUACGUAUGGGGCGAGCGUUGUCCGGAAUGAUUGGGCGUAAAGGGCGCGUAGGCGGCCCGGUAAGUCUGGAGUGAAAGUCCUGUUUUUAAGAUGGGAAUUGCUUUGGAUACUGUCGGGCUUGAGUGCAGGAGAGGUAAGUGGAAUUCCCAGUGUAGCGGUGGAAUGCGUAGAGAUUGGGAGGAACACCAGUGGCGAAGGCGACUUACUGGACUGUAACUGACGCUGAGGCGCGAAAGUGUGGGGAGCAAACAGGAUUAGAUACCCUGGUAGUCCACACUGUAAACGAUGAAUGCUAGGUGUAGGGGGUAUCGACCCCUUCUGUGCCGCAGUCAACACAAUAAGCAUUCCGCCUGGGGAGUACGGCCGCAAGGUUGAAACUCAAAUGAAUUGACGGGG
rnacentral:rRNA from 1 species